rnacentral:rRNA from 1 species
UACAGAGGUCUCAAGCGUUGUUCGGAUUCAUUGGGCGUAAGGGUGUGUAGGUGGCGCCGUAAGUCGGGUGUGAAAUUUCGGAGCUUAACUCCGAAACUGCAUUCGAUACUGCGGUGCUUGAGGACUGGAGAGGAGACUGGAAUUUACGGUGUAGCGGUGAAAUGCGUAGAUAUCGUAAGGAAGACCAGUGGCGAAGGCGGGUCUCUGGACGAGUUC